rnacentral:rRNA from 1 species
UACGAAGGGUGCAACCGUUGCUCGGAAUCACUGGGCGUAAAGGGUGCGUAGGCGGGUCUUUAAGUCAGGGGUGAAAUCCUGGAGCUCAACUCCAGAACUGCCUUUGAUACUGAGGAUCUUGAGUUCGGGAGAGGUGAGUGGAACUGCGAGUGUAGAGGUGAAAUUCGUAGAUAUUCGCAAGAACACCAGUGGCGAAGGCGGCUCACUGGCCCGAUACUGACGCUGAGGCACGAAAGCGUGGGGAGCAAACAGG